rnacentral:rRNA from 1 species
GUCUAUGGCCAUGCUACCCUGAACAAGCCCAAACUCAUCUGAUCUCGGAAGCUAAGCAGGGUCGGGCCUGGUUAGUACUUGGAUGGGAGACCACCUAGGAAGACCAGGUGCAGUAGGAG